CCCGUCGAUUGGCAAAACAGGCAGGCAGAAAUUUUUUUGUGUGGCCUCCCCGGGAACAGCCGGUUGUGUUUCCUCCCGUUAGUUUUUUCUUGCAGGUGAAGAGGAAGGCGGCAACUGCAGGAAAGUGCUAGUUAGCUGCCGUGCUGCUUUUGUCGAGGAUGGAAUCGGACCUCCGUCCCUCUGAAAGCUAAGUCGAGCGAACGGGGCCGAGAGGAGGGGCCGAGGUUGGGAAUUGCAGGGAAGUGUUUGAAAGUUAGCACGGGGAGAAGGCUGCACAGGAGCGGGGCCCUCCGGUCAGGAUGUAGGCGGGGCUCAAUUUGACUACGUAGACUGGAUUUAAUGAAAAACUCUGUCAGGGGAAUAAACUUCUGUUUUUCCCGUCUCCUGCCUGGGUAGUUUUUCCCUGGUCCCGGCCGGUGUGCAACGCAAGGAUCGUUAUCUAGAUGUGGGUGCAGGUCAGGCUCAGGCUGGAGUUUUUUCAGGCAGGAUGAUUUUUUUGAGGCCCCCAUACCUGAUGUUUCUGAGGAUCACGGAGGGUGAUGGCUUGUGGCGGUUUUGGUGGUAGGGUGGCCAAGGGGAGAACACGUGGUGGUUUGAGUGGUAGCCGGCUGUGUGGCGUUUAAAAUGUGUGUAGCAGUGCCUGAAUGGUUGAUGUUUUGUUUUUUCCUUACGGGCUGUAGGUAGUGUAGCUUUGUUUAGAGGCAGUAGACAGACAAAAUAGAAAUUAAAAAAAAAAAACAAAACAAAAAAAAAAAAAAAACCCAAACCACACAAAACCAAAAAUCCCAAAAUCCCAAAAGAGCUGGGGGACAAAAAAUUUUUUCUUUUCCUGUCCCCUGUCUGGGUUUUUACUCCCCGGUCCCGGCCGGUCUGCGAGGCGACUUUUGUCGCCU